GAACUCAGAAAUCCACCUGCCUCUGCCUCCCAAGUGCUGGGAUUAAAGGUGUGCACCACCAUGCCCAGCUCUCCUCUCAUUUUCUAUGGUACCUUCACACUUUUCUUUAUCCCUUUCCCUUUUCUGUGUACCUUAUAUAUACUCUAAUUUCUCCAUCUCUCCUCCUCCUCUCCCUCCUCUUCCUUCAGAUUCUUUAAGAGAGGGCUUCUCUGUGUAGCCCUGGCUAUCCUCAAACUUACUCUGUAAAUGAAGUUGGUCCGGAACUGAGUCCAGCCUGCCUCUGCCUCCUGAGUGCUAGGAUUAAAGGCAGAUGCCAUGUAUGCUGCUCAUUCUCCAUCAUAACUGAUAUUCCUGUUUCCUGGUCCCAUCUGCCCUGUCCUGCCCCCUACCUUUCCUCCUCACCCAUUUUCAGUCUUUCCCCCUCUCUCUGGACUCUUCUCCCUCGCCUGCUAGCCCAGUCCUAGUCUCAGAGGAUAUGGGGCAGGAUACCCAGGGCUUGAUGUCCUCCUGGAUCCCUCCCCACAACCAGACCUCUGUCUGUCUCUGGGUCCUAGCCUGGGGACAUAAGGAAUGUGAUCAAGAGUGCUCAGUCCACUUUGCUCCUCUACCUGCCCAGUCUCCUCCUCUACCUGCCCUGUCUCCUUGCUCGUUUCUCUAUCCCCACCUCCUUCUCCCUAGGCUGCCUAGCCCCCCUUUCUGGGCUCUCUGUCCUGUUCUUUUCUGUGCUUGCCCUCAUGGCCUCACUGUUCUUUCUGGAAUCUUCUUUUGUUCUGUUCUCCAUCACUAUUCCCUUUCUUCCUCCAUUUUCUUUACAACCCAGGCUCUCCCACCAGUGCUGUAACACCACCUCCUCCCCUUUCCUCACUGAAACUUAGAAGCUGUCUCCACCUCCCUUAGCAUCUCUGCUGUUUAUCUCCCUUGACCAUUCAGGCCUUUCUUGUCUCCGAUAUCCAGUCUCUCCUCCCCUCUUAUCUAUUCUGACCCAAGGUGCUGAUCUCUCUCUCUCUCUCUCUCACACACACACACACACACACACACACACACACACACCCAACUUCUGACUAAUUCCCUUUCUGGUUGUCCCUCACUCUGCUCUCUCUGUCCCUCACACUCCUGUGGAACUCCUUCUGGUCUUCCUGUCUCUUUCUUGCACUGACUCCCUAUCCUCUCCUGGUGUGUGUGUGUGUGUGUAUGUGCAUAUGUGCACACACAGUAUAGGACAGAGGUCAACCUUAGGUGUUACUCAUGCUUAUUUUGUAUGUUCAUGUAUGCAUAUGGUGUGCUCACCUGUAAAACAUGUGUGAAGGUAGGACAUCAACAUCUCGUGUCCUCUCUAUUGUUUUGCGCCUUAGUUUUUGAACUUGACACCUUCCGAUUUGGUGAGUCUGGCCAGCCAGGAAGCCUGGGAAUCCCCAGCACCAGGAUCACUUACAGGCACUGUCACUGUGGGGGCUGUAAUGUGGGUACAGGCAGUGUCACUGUGAGGGCUGUAGUGUGGGUACAGGCACUGCCACUGUGCAGGCUGUAGUGUGGGUACAGGCACUGCCACUGUGCAGGCUGUAGUGUGGGUACAGGCACUGUCACUGUGCAGGCUGUAGUGUGGGUACAGGCACUGUCACUGUGGGGGCUGUAAUGUGGGUACAGGCAGUGUCACUGUGAGGGCUGUAGUGUGGGUACAGGCACUGCCACUGUGCAGGCUGUAGUGUGGGUACAGGCACUGCCACUGUGCAGGCUGUAGUGUGGGUACAGGCACUGUCACUGUGCAGGCUGUAGUGUGGGUACAGGCACCUGCCACUGUGUGGGCUGUAGUGUGGGUACAGGCACUGUCACUGUGCAGGCUGUAGUGUGGGUACAGGCACUGUCACUGUGCAGGCUGUAGUGUGGGUACAGGCACUGUCACUGUGCAGGCUGUAGUGUGGGUACAGGCACCUGCCACUGUGUGGGCUGUAGUGUGGGUACAGGCAGUGUCACUGUGUGGGCUGCAGUGUGGGUACAGGCACCUGCUACUGUGUGGGCUGUAGUGUGGGUACAGGCACUGUCACUGUGCAGGCUGUAGUGUGGGUACAGGCACUGUCACUGUGCGGGCUGUAGUGUGGGUACAGGCACCUGCCACUGUGUGGGCUGUAGUGUGGGUACAGGCACCUGCCAGUGUGUGGGCUGUAGUGUGGGUACAGGCACCUGCCACUGUGUGGGCUGUAAUGUGGGUACAGGCACCUGCCACUGUGUGAGCUGUAGUGUGGGUAGAGGCACUGUCACUGUGAGGGCUGUAGUGUGGGUACAGACAGUGUCACUGUGUGGGCUGUAGUGUAGGUACAGGUACCUGCCACUGUGAGGGCUGUAGUGUGGGUACAGGCAGUGUCACUGUGUGGGCUGUAGUGUGGGUACAGGCACCUGCCACUGUGCAGGCUGUAGUGUGGGUACUGGGACUCAAACUCGGAUCUUGCUGCUUACAUAACAAAUACUUCAUCAACAAACCUGUCUCCCAUUUAUUUCUCUUCCUGUCUUUCUUCCAUCCUCUGGCCUUUGACCUCUCUCCUUCUUCUUCUCAACUUCUUUGCCUUUCUCCUCCGCACCCUCCUUCCCUCCCCUCCCUCCCCAGUUCUCAAUGCUGAGAGCCUCUAAAUGGGUUCCUCUCCUGCUCUCCCCAGCCCCCUGCCUUGGUGCUGUGAGGUCCUCAGGCCCUGAGAGGGAGGUGGGUCACCAGCAGCCACAGAAAGUCAUGGCAGUAGGUUGAUCACCGGAAGCAUGGCUAAGACUGAGUCCAGGUGUGGCUCAGGCUUUGUGACACUCUUUUUUUUUUUUUUUUUUUUCUGUUUGCCCUGGACACUGGCUGGAGGAAUGAGGCCUGGAAGCAGGAAGCAAAAGAUCAGCUCGGAGAGAAGGAAGAGUGCUGCCCCAGACACAGCGGGUGCCCCAUCUUCUUCAGGCAUCAGCAAUGAAAGACCUCGGCUGACUUCAGUUUUCCAGAUGAAAACAUCUGUACACCUGCAGGACACUGAAAACCUGCAGCUGCUAGGACAGAGGCUUCUUAGGACUCACCUGCCUUGGAGGACCAACACUGCCCAGCAUCUGCCAUCUGUGUGUUUGGAAAGGAGCUAAUGGGACUCUGUCACCACCUGCUGGCAUGGAGUGGAACUGCAACCCAGCUAUACUAGGCACUGCAAACUGUUCAAAGAAUGGAGGAGUGGUGGGUGGGUAUGGAAAAUUCUGUAGAAAUAAACAUGUUUACUCCUAACACAGUAACCUUCACAGCAAGUGCCUGAGACAGGGCCUCCUCAUUCCGCCCAGGUUGACCUUGAACCUGAUCCUCCUGCUGCCUCUUCCCAGUGCUGGAGUUACAAGUCUGUGCAAUCAGGCCUGGCUUCAAUCAGAUUCUGACAAUGGUCUAACACCUCUGCAUCUCAUUCACACUGAGUCACUCAAUGAAUGAAUGUCUACAUUCCAGGGAGAGGACCCAGGUGGACCAGGGGAUAGAAUGGAAAACAGGUCUUUGAUUAUGCAAAUUUCUGCAAAAAAAAAAAAAAAAAAAAAAAAAAAACGGAAGGUGGGUGCAUGCCACAAUUAGGGUUUCUAUCACCGUGAUGAAACCCCAUGACCAAAAGCAAGUUGAGGAGGAAAGGGUUUACUCAGCUUACACUUCAGCUUUGUAGUCAACUACUGAAUGAAGUCAGGACAGGAACUAAACAGGGCAGGGACCUGGAGGCAGGCGCUGAUGCAGAGGGCAUGGCGGGCCCUGCUGACUGGUGUGCUCGCCAUGGCUUGCUCAGCCUGCUCUUACAGAACCCAGGACCACCAGCCUAGCCCACAUCAAUCAUUAAUUAAGAAAAUGCAGCUGAAGGUGGUAAUGCAGGC
rnacentral:lncRNA from 1 species